UAGUGAUAGCUGGUUGUUCAAGAAAAGAGUCUUAGCUCUGCCUUAAGUUUUUUUAUUACACCAAACAAACCCGAAGCUUAAGAGUUAUUCAAAUUAGGUACAGCUUAUUUGAAACAGGACACAACCUCCCCCAUUGGGUAAAGAAGGGCAAUAAAAAUAAAGUGGGCCCAAAAGCAGCCACCUUUAAAAUAGCGUCAAAGCUUAACUAUACAGCCCCCAAUCACUUAAACACCCCCAACCCCUAACCCAUAUUGAACCAUUUUAUACUACUAUAAAAAUGAUCAUGCUAGAACUAGUAACAAGAACUUGCCCUUCUCCUCAUGUAAGCAUAAACCAAAACGGACACUCCAUUGGUAAUCAACGUAAAUGCCAAACUAUAAUAACAGAUACCAGAAAACCUUAUAGCAACCAACGUUAUCCUAACACCAGAACAUCUCAGGAAAGAUUAAAAGAGAGAGAAGGAACUCGGCAAAUUUUAGCCCCGCCUGUUUACCAAAAACAUCGCCUCCUGGCAAACAUAGGAGGUCCAGCCUGCCCAGUGAUAACAUUCAACGGCCGCGGUAUACUAACCGUGCGAAGGUAGCAUAAUCACUUGUUCUUUAAAUAAGGACUUGUAUCAACGGCAUCACGAGGACUAUACUGUCUCCCCUCUCCAAUCAGUGAAACUGAUCUCCCCGUGAAGAAGCGGGGAUUAAUAUAUAAGACGAGAAGACCCCAUGGAGCUUUAAACCCAAUAUACACCCCUUCGCUCAAACCAAUUUAACCUCAAGAGCCUGUAUAUCGGUUUUAGGCUGGGGGGGCCACGGAGUAAAAUUAAACCUCCACAACAAAUGGGCUAAUACCCUUAUCCACGACUUACAAAUCUAAGAAUCAUCAAAAUGAUGUUUAAUGACCCGAUAAUUCGAUCAUUGAACCAAGUUACCCUGGGGAUAACAGCGCAAUCCGCUUCAAGAGCCCAUAUCGACAAGCGGGUUUACGACCUCGAUGUUGGAUCAGGGUACCCCAGUGGUGCAACCGCUACUAACGGUUCGUUUGUUCAACGAUUAAAACCCU
rnacentral:rRNA from 1 species